rnacentral:lncRNA from 1 species
AAAAAUGACAAAAGACGAAACACGAAAAACAAAACAAAAAGGCCAAAGUACAAACAAAAGAGUGAUGAAAAAACAAGGGGAGCACAAGACGUAAAUACAUAAGAGAUAACAAAACAUGGGCGAGAAAAUUAGAGGUGGGGCAGGGAAUCAAAAUUGGAGGAAACACACCAGCUUUCUGUCCAUUUUUGAUUGUAGAGACUUUUGGCUCAUCUUCAGGAUGAUGGACCAACAUACCCAAACAAAAACAUUUUCUCAGUCAUCAAGUGUUAUUAUGUGGGAAAGUUUUAUUUAAUGUCGGUGUUUGCGCAGGUCUUUGCAUUUUUGUUUGAUGAGUUAAUGAACGUGGUACUUUUGAAGGUUGACUUUCAGUUUAGUUGACAUUGUACCAUCUCAGACAGGGGUGGAUGAAUGCUGCAGAAACAUGAUUGGUCAAUGACAUCUAUAUAAAAACUGAGAGAAACCAGCACACUCUAAGACACGAUGAGGACUUUGUGUGUUGCAGAUGUUUUGCAGAUGUUUAACCUCAUGGUGUCAGCCUGCUCCGCUAACCUGUGAGAAUUUACUAAUACCAGCUGAAAGAGGUCCAGAUAUUGCUGGCAGAUGGUAUGUUGUGGCUGUGUCCUCACAAAAAUGCACACUUAUGCCAUUUUGGGCAACUUUUCUUACACCAAGUGCUCAAGUGGACAUGAGCUCAACAGACAAACCAAACAACUACAAGGCUAAAUAGGUGACAAAUCAGAUGAACUCUGCCUGAGUUCUUACUGCAUCAACCAUGACUAAAGAGACCUGUAUGCUGCAGGAAACCCAUUGGCCACACAGCAGAGUUACUAUAAAUAAUAUCCAUUCCCCUAUACAGUGCGUUACAUAAAAGCAGCUCAUUGAAAGAAACACUUUGAACUAAAGCCAUCAUGGUGUUUCAGUGUGUGAGUCAUACAAAGUGCAGCAAUGUGAUCGUUUGAUUGUUGACAUAUGACCAGAAUGAAGUGCUGAGAUGAAAAGCUAUUCUUGUGCCCUGUAAUAAGUCUUUCACUUCCCUGUAAAGUCUUUCAUCUGUCAUGUGCUCCACAGGUAGGAGAGUGACCAUCACUGCUGCUGAGAUGACAGAGUUUCAGACACAGUCAAGUUGCCUCACCUAUGACAAAGUAUCAGUCCUAAACACAGAUCACAGUGAGAGUUAAAAGAACAUUUUGUUCAUGUUUAAAAAUAAAAACAAGUACAUAAGGACUUAAAGAGUAGAA